UACGGAGGGUGCAAGCGUUAUCCGGAUUCACUGGGUUUAAAGGGUGCGUAGGCGGGUAAGUAAGUCCGUGGUGAAAUCUCUGAGCUUAACUCAGAAACUGCCGUGGAUACUAUUUGCCUUGAAUAUUGUGGAGGUGAGCGGAAUAUGUCAUGUAGCGGUGAAAAUGCUUAGAUAUGACAUAGAACACCAAUUGCGAAGGCAGCUCACUACACAAUCAUUGACGCUGAGGCACGAAAGCGUGGGGGAUCAAAACAGG
rnacentral:rRNA from 1 species